GACGAACGCUGGCGGCGUGCUUAACACAUGCAAGUCGAACGGAAAGGCCCUGCUUUUGUGGGGUGCUCGAGUGGCGAACGGGUGAGUAACACGUGAGUAACCUGCCCUUGACUUUGGGAUAACUUCAGGAAACUGGGGCUAAUACCGGAUAGGAGCUCCUGCUGCAGGGUGGGGGUUGGAAAGUUUCGGCGGGUGGGGAUGGACGCGCGGCUUAUCAGCUUGUUGGUGGGGUAGUGGCUUACCAAGGCUUUGACGGGUAGCCGGCCUGAGAGGGUGACCGGCCACAUUGGGACUGAGAUACGGCCCAGACUCCUACGGGAGGCAGCAGUGGGGAAUAUUGCACAAUGGGCGGAAGCCUGAUGCAGCAACGCCGCGUGCGGGAUGACGGCCUUCGGGUUGUAAACCGCUUUCGCCUGUGACGAAGCGUGAGUGACGGUAAUGGGUAAAGAAGCACCGGCUAACUACGUG
rnacentral:rRNA from 1 species